GUGCCUGUGGCUCAAAAGGGUAGGGCGCAGGCCUCAUAUGCCAGAGGUGGUGGGUUCAAACCCAGCCCCGGGACA
rnacentral:tRNA from 1 species